CAGUCGUACUUAUGGGUAAUCAGCCUUUUGGGUGUGAUUUUGUGGAGUGUGAGGAGUUAAACGCCUUCAUGCCUGCAUAUUCGUGCUCUUGGGUGUACUUGCUCGUGUGGUUGGUUAACAUCAAUUUCGGACGCCAUAAAAUGGCUGGAGGAAUGUAGCUUCGAUCUCGUAUUGAAGUGUUAUAGCCUUCGGUAGAUGUGGUGAUCGAGAUUGAGGAUUGCAACGGAUACCCUUCGGGGCUACCUGUCUGGUCUCUGAUCGUUGCUCUGGUGCCGAAAGCUUGCUUACGGUUAUCAAAGUCGAUGGUCAAUAGGUUAGAACGGGUUAAAUUCGUUAAGGAUGUUGACGUAAUGGCUUUAAACGACCCGUCUUGAAACACGGACCAAGGAGUCUAACAUAUGUGCGAGUGUUU
rnacentral:rRNA from 1 species